rnacentral:rRNA from 1 species
UACGUAGGGGGCAAGCGUUGUUCGGAUUCAUUGGGCGUAAAGGGUGCGUAGGUGGCGCGGUAAGUCGGGUGUGAAAUUUCGGAGCUUAACUCCGAAACUGCAUUCGAUACUGCCGUGCUUGAGGACUGGAGAGGAGACUGGAAUUUACGGUGUAGCAGUGAAAUGCGUAGAGAUCGUAAGGAAGACCAGUGGCGAAGGCGGGUCUCUGGACAGUUCCUGACACUGAGACACGAAGGCCAGGGGAGCAAACGGG